rnacentral:rRNA from 1 species
UUAAUUGAAGAGUUUGAUCAUGGCUCAGAUUGAACGCUGGCGGCAGGCCUAACACAUGCAAGUCGAGCGGCAGCACAGAGGAACUUGUUCCUUGGGUGGCGAGCGGCGGACGGGUGAGUAAUGCCUGGGAAAUUGCCCGGUAGAGGGGGGAUAACCAUUGGAAACGAUGGCUAAUACCGCAUAACCUCGCAAGAGCAAAGCAGGG